UACGUAGGGGGCAAGCGUUGUCCGGAAUCAUUGGGCGUAAAGCGCGUGUAGGCGGCUCGGUAAGUCUGCUGUGAAAGUCCAGGGCUCAACCCUGGGAUGCCGGUGGAUACUGUCGAGCUCGAGUCCGGAAGAGGCGAGUGGAAUUCCUGGUGUAGCGGUGAAAUGCGCAGGAUAUCAGGAGGAACACCAAUGGCGAAGGCAGCUCGCUGGGACGUGACUGACGCUGAGACGCGAAAGCGUGGGGAGCAACAG
rnacentral:rRNA from 1 species